ACCCGGGUGGCGGAACGGGCAGACGCGGGCGACUUAAAAUCGCCUGCCGGCAACGGCAUGUGGGUUCGAGUCCCACCCCGGGUACCU
rnacentral:tRNA from 1 species